rnacentral:rRNA from 1 species
GACGAACGCUGGCGGCGCGCUUAACACAUGCAAGUCGAACGGAAAGGCCUGCUUUCCCUUGUGGAUUGCGGGUACUCGAGUGGCGAACGGGUGAGUAACACGUGAGUGAUCUGCCCCCAACUUGGGUAUAAGCCUGGGAAACUGGGUCUAAUUCCCGAUAGGACUGCAGGGUGGUGCCUGUGGUGGAAAACGAUUUUCUAGUGGGUGGGGAUGAGCUCGCGGCCUAUCAGCUUGUUGGUGGGGGAAUGGCCUACCAAGGCGGCGACGGGUAGCCGGCCUGAGAUGGUGGACGGCCACAUUGGGACUGAGAUACGGCCCAGACUCCUACGGGAGGCAGCAGUUGGGAAUAUUGCACAAUGGGCGGAAGCCUGAUGCAGCGACGCCGCGUGGGGGAUGACGGCCUUCGGGUUGUAAACUCCUUUCGACCGCGAGGAAGCCACCUGGUUGGAAGGGUGGUGACGGUAGUGGUAGAAGAAGCACCGGCUAACUACGUG